UACGAAGGGGGCUAGCGUUGCUCGGAAUUACUGGGCGUAAAGGGCGCGUAGGCGGAUAGUUUAGUCAGAGGUGAAAGCCCAGGGCUCAACCUUGGAACUGCCUUUGAUACUGGCUAUCUUGAGUUCGGGAGAGGUGAGUGGAAUGCCGAGUGUAGAGGUGAAAUUCGUAGAUAUUCGGCGGAACACCAGUGGCGAAGGCGAAUCACUGGCCCGAUACUGACGCUGAGGCGCGAAAGCGUGGGGAGCAAACAGG
rnacentral:rRNA from 1 species